GACGAACGCUGGCGGCGUGCCUAAUACAUGCAAGUCGAACGCAGAGGGGACGGGUGCGUAACACGUGGUUAACCUGCACAUCAGAGGGGGAAACAAUUGGAAACAGGUGCUAAACCGAUACUGAUGUUUGGACCCGCGGUGCAUUAGCUAGUUGGUGAGGUAACGGCGCACAAAGGCCACGAUUCAUACCCGCCCUGAGAGGGUGACCGGCCACCCUGGACCUGAACCACGGCCCAGACUCCUACGUGAGGCAGCAGUAGGGAAUCUGCGGCAAUGGACGAAAGUCUGACCGAGCAACGCCGCGUGUGUGAAGAGGGUUUUGGGAUCGUAAAACUCUGUUGUUGGAGAAGCGGUAUCUAACCAGAAAGCCACGGCUAACUACGUGCCAGCAGCCGCGGUAAUAC
rnacentral:rRNA from 1 species